rnacentral:rRNA from 1 species
AGAAAUUGGGAACCUUUGCCUCAAUGAUUCAGCGGCGGACGGGUGAGUAAUGCCUAGGAAUCUGCCUGGUAGUGGGGGACAACGUUUCGAAAGGAACGCUAAUACCGCAUACGUCCUACGGGAGAAAGUGGGGGAUCUUCGGACCUCACGCUAUCAGAUGAGCCUAGGUCGGAUUAGCUAGUUGGUGAGGUAAAGGCUCACCAAGGCGACGAUCCGUAACUGGUCUGAGAGGAUGAUCAGUCACACUGGAACUGAGACACGGUCCAGACUCCUACGGGAGGCAGCAGUGGGGAAUAUUGGACAAUGGGCGAAAGCCUGAUCCAGCCAUGCCGCGUGUGUGAAGAAGGUCUUCGGAUUGUAAAGCACUUUAAGUUGGGAGGAAGGGCAGUAAGUUAAUACCUUGCUGUUUUGACGUUACCAACAGAAUAAGCACCGGCUAACUUCGUGCCAGCAGCCGCGGUAAUACGAAGGGUGCAAGCGUUAAUCGGAAUUACUGGGCGUAAAGCGCGCGUAGGUGGUUCGUUAAGUUGGAUGUGAAAGCCCCGGGCUCAACCUGGGAACUGCAUCCAAAAACUGGCGAGCUAGAGUAUGGCAGAGGGUGGUGGAAAUUUUCCUGUGUAGCGGUGAAAUGCGUUAAUAUAUGAAAGGAAACACCAGUGGCGAAAGCCAACCCACCUUGGG